rnacentral:rRNA from 1 species
GACGAACGCUGGCGGCGUGCUUAACACAUGCAAGUUGAACGGUGAACCGGGCUUCGGCCCGGGGAUCAGUGGCGAACGGGUGCGUAACACGUGGGCAACCUGCCCCAGACACUGGGAUAACCCCGGGAAACCGGGGCUAAUACCGGAUACUCCGCUCGGACCGCAUGGUCCGAUCGGGAAAGCUCCGACGGUCUGGGAUGGGCCCGCGGCCUAUCAGCUCAUUGGUGGGGUAACGGCCGACCAAGGCGACGACGGGUACCUGGUCUGAGGGGACGACCAGCCACACUGGAACUGGGAUACGGUCCAGACUCCUACGGGAGGCAGCAGUGGGGAAUCUUGCACAAUGGGCGAAAGCCUGAUGCAGCGACGCCGCGUGGGGGACGAAGGCCCUCGGGUUGUAAACCCCUUUCGGCAGGGAAGAAGCGCAAGUGACGGUACCUGCAGAAGAAGCUCCGGCUAACUACGUGCCAGCCGCCGCGGUAAUAC